CUGAGUUUGCCCAUAGUUCUAUAGAUGUGGAAGGACCCUUUGCAAAUGUUAAUAGAGAUGACUGGGAUAUUGCUGUAGCUAGUUUAUUACAAGUUACUCCUCUUUUUUCACAUUCUCUGUGGAGUAACACUGUCAGAUGUUACCUCAUUUAUACAGAUGAAACCCAGCCUGAGAUGGAUCUUUUCCUUAAGGACUAUUCACCUAAACUUAAGAGAAUGUGCGAGACAAUGGGAUAUUUUUUCCAUGCUGUUUAUUUUCCAAUAGAUGUUGAAAAUCAAUACCUCACUGUAAGAAAAUGGGAAAUUGAGAAAAGUUCUUUAGUUAUUUUAUUUAUUCACUUAACAUUACCAAGCCUUUUAUUGGAAGACUGUGAAGAAGCUUUUCUGAAAAACCCUGAAGGAAAACCUCGAUUAAUCUUUCAUCGUUUGGAAGAUGGAAAAGUCAUUUCUGACUCUGUCCAGCAAUUGAUUGAUCAAGUUUCUAAUCUAAACAAGACCAGCAAAGCCAAGAUCAUUGAUCACUCAGGAGAUCCUGCAGAAGGAGUAUAUAAAACUUAUAUUUGUGUAGAAAAGAUUAUUAAACAGGUAAAUAUGCAUUCUCUGUAAGUUUUCAUCUAAAAUAUUUUAAGAUCACUUUCUAUAAAAUUGAUU
rnacentral:sRNA from 1 species